rfam:Aspergillus brasiliensis CBS 101740 unplaced genomic scaffold ASPBRscaffold_16, whole genome shotgun sequence.
GGGGUUGUAGCUCAGUGGUAGAGCGCUCGCUUCGCAUCCAUUAAAUGGGAAAUGCGAGAGGUCAAGGGUUCGAUCCCCUUCAACUCCA